rnacentral:tRNA from 1 species
GCCUGCAUGGCUCAGUCGGCUAAGCGUCUGACUUCAGCUCAGGUCACGAUCUCGCGGUCCGUGGGUUCAAGCCCCACGUCGGGCU